rnacentral:rRNA from 1 species
UUUUGGUCUGUUCGACCAUUGAAUUUUUACAUGAUCUGAGUUCAGACCGGUGUAAGCCAGGUCGGUUUCUAUCUUUAUUUAAUUAAAAUAUUUUAGUACGAAAGGACCAAAUAUUAAUUAUAAUUAUAUUUAUUUAUUUUGAAUAUUAUU